GCAAGAUUCGCAAUUUACGGGUUACCUUCUGGACACCACUCCCCCUCAGAGUGUGAGCAUCGUGUUUUCCUGCAGUGGGAGGAGGCUCCAGCUCCUCUUCACAGAGGGACCUAUUGGUUCUCCAAUAACCAGUCCGACAGCCGAAACUUUCCACAGCAGACAAACUGGGAGAGACACGGAGGAGAACCACGCGCCCACCAGGAUCCAGAUGACAAUGCACCGCCAUUCAGCAAGCUGCAACCUGCAUUGAUUCCCAAAGCUGAGGUUAACUACAGAGGAAAAAGGAACAUUUAUCUCAGAUAUAUAUGAUGAUUUUGUCGCCCAGCUGAAUACCACACUCUAAAAUCAGAUUAAAACUGGACUUAAAUUAGUAGUUUCAGUGUAUCUGCACUUGUGUUUUAUAUCUAGGGUCAUAACUAGAUAUAAAGUGCAAAGUUAUCUCCAAUAAACGCAGCACAAAAGUGCUCAAACAUGACCGCCACUAUGGAAGCGGCAGACAUCUCCGUCGUAGCAGUCUACUUCAUCCUGGUGUUGGCGAUCGGUUUCUUUGCCAUGAGGAAAGCCAAUAAGAACACAGUGAGCGGCUACUUCCUCGCCGGUCGCUCCAUGAAUUGGGCGGCUGUGGGAGCGUCUUUAUUCGUCAGCAACAUAGGAAGCGAGCAUUUCAUUGGACUAGCUGGAUCAGGUGCUGCUAGCGGGCUCAGCGUGGCCGCGUGGGAGUUAAACGCUCUCUUGUUGCUCCAGUUGUUGGGCUGGAUAUUCAUCCCGGUGUAUAUCCACUCCGGAGUCUACACCAUGCCGGAGUACCUGUCCAAGCGGUUCGGCGGGAACCGACUGAAAGUGUAUUUUGCAGCGUUAUCCCUCAUCCUGUACAUCUUCACCAAGCUGUCCGUUGAUCUCUACUCCGGGGCUUUGUUCAUUCAGGAGUCCUUAGGGUGGAAUAUGUAUUUGUCAAUCAUCCUCCUCAUCGCCAUGACAGCUUUGCUGACAGUCACUGGAGGUCUGGUCACUGUCAUCUACACGGAUACGGUCCAGGCGUUCCUCAUGAUCGCCGGAGCACUCUGCCUCUCGGGCAUCAGCAUCUACAAAGUGGGAGGAUUUGAAGGGGUGUGGACCAAGUACAUGCAGGCUUCUCCAAACAUCACCGCCAUCUUGCUGUCUUCACCCAACCUGACGUAUUCUGAGUCCUGCCACCUCCACCUCCACCCGAAGCCAGAUGCUCUGAAGAUGCUCCGAGGCCCGAGGGAUCCAGACCUGCCUUGGCCCGGUUUCUUACUGGGCCAGACUCCUGCCUCGAUUUGGUACUGGUGUGCAGAUCAAGUGAUUGUACAGCGGGUUCUGGCAGCGAAGAACAUCGCCCACGCCAAAGGUUCUACUAUCAUGGCUGGCUCUCUGAAAAUCCUCCCCAUGUUUAUCAUCGUCAUCCCAGGGAUGAUUUCCAGGAUCUUCUUCGCUGAUGAGUUGGCGUGCAUCAGCCCGGAGCACUGCGUGGAAGUGUGCGGUUCCGCGUCCGGCUGUAGCAACGUGGCUUACCCGCGGCUCGUCAUGGCGGUGAUGCCCGUCGGUCUCCGCGGCCUAAUGAUGGCCGUCAUGAUCGCGGCUCUGAUGAGCGACUUGGACUCCAUCUUCAACUCCGCGAGCACCAUAUUCACGUUGGACAUUUACAAGAUGUUUCGGAAGCAGGUGUCGUCCAGGGAGCUGGUGAUAGUCGGCAGGUUGUUUGUGGUCUUCAUGGUGAUCGUCAGCAUCGCGUGGGUGCCGGUCAUCAUCGAGAUGCAGGGCGGCCAGAUGUUCUAUUACAUCCAAGAAGUAACAGAUUACCUGACUCCACCCAUAGCUGCUCUCUUCUUGCUCGGCGUCCUGUGGCGUCGCUGCAACGAGACGGGCGCCUUCUGGGGCGGGGUGGUGGGGUUCGUCCUCGGAGCGGCGCGUCUGAUUUUGGCGCUCGUUUACCGCGAGCCCCGCUGCGACCAGCCUGACGAGCGGCCGUCUUUCAUCAAAGAUGUUCAUUUCAUGUAUGUGGCGGCCGUCUUGUUUUGGGUGUCGGCUUUGGUGACUGUGGUCGUGAGUCUCUGCACUCCUCCGCCCACAAAAGAACAAAUCAGAACCACGACCCUGUGGGGGUUAAACGAGAGAAAGAGACUAAAAGAGCAGGAAAAAGAGAAAGCUGGAGAGGAGAUAAAUGCUUUGAAGCCUCUAAACCACGCGAUCCUGAAUGGAAACAGUUUGCUCGGUAAAGAAAAGUGUCAAGAGCAGUCAGACAAUGGUGGUGCUAUCCCAACCAGUGACAAAGAAUCACACCCGAUUGCUGAUCCUAAAAUGGUAGAAGAGGAAGAGGAAGGCUUCCUUGGAGGAGGAGGAGUGGAGGGUGGGAGGUGUAUGAAGGCUUUAGAGUGUUUCUGUGGCUUCCGGGGGAAGCCGUCCGAAGCUCAGGUCAUCACAGUCCAGCAGCAGGAGAAGAUCGUGGACGAGCUUCUCCACGAACCUCGACGAGCCAGAAUCCUCCUGAAUACAGCGCUUGUGACGAUUUGCUCCGUUGGGAUCUUUCUCUAUAUCUAUUUCUCCGUAUAGGCUCGUUUAAUUCCAAGCAGUUGGACACGUCCGUCCACAAACUACAAGCAGGAAUGGUCUGCAGGGAAGCGUCAUGCCCUCUGGGGCUUCAGCUAUUUACAAAAGGAUGAGGCAGCAUUGGGGGAACACGACUCAUACAUCAGAAAACAUAAAAAUGUCAGUCAGGUAUUCUUUAUUACCGUAGAGAUUGCUUAAUUCUGAUAGGCCUUAUUAUUUAUUUACUUAUUAUUUCCCAUAGUAUAGCUGCAUGUAUGUAGUUAUUCCCUGGAAAUGUACAUAUAAACUGUAAAACAAUUAAAUGUGAAAGUAGAACUUCUGCCUGAGGGCAGGGACGUAUAAUGACCCAGCAGGUUAUACGUGGUAUGUGGUAUGUGAAGCACACGUCUUAUCCUCCAGUAAAAAGACAUAACAAGGAAACAUGCCUCCAGUCAGAGAGUUAAGAUGACAUUAAAAACAGACUCUGCCGCAGUGGAAAGUUACAGACUGGAAGUGGAAAGUUACUGGGUAGACACACACCGCACUGUUUUUUUUUUCUUUUCUUUCUUUCUUCUGGUGUCUUCAAGUUCAUAAUCCUCAAUACAGGCUGCUGAAGAAAGUGAUAGGAAAAGUGAAUACAGGUGCCAAAGUAAUGGAAGCACUUUUUUACGAUAAGUAAUGAGAAAGUAAGUUAAAAUAUUUGGAAAAUAUGAUGUGCAAAAGUAUGUAAAAUCAGAGCACAAAGUUUGUAGAAGCUGAAACAGUGUGCCAACAUUUUGUUACUAACAUCAUUAACACUGGCACACAUUCACAAUAUCAGGACCCUCAUACUGACGUGGUGCUUUUGGAUGUCAGCGAAUAGACAGUCCUGAGGGAGUUCAUUAAUUUGAGAAUUUUUUAUGGAACUGUGUAAGCUGCAUUGUGUCUCCAAACCCCCCAAAGACUGGCACCACAUAAACAAGUUGCACAACCGCAGUUUGACAAUGGGACAUUCUGUCCCACCCAUGAAAUUUCAAAUAAUCCAUGCACAAAAUACUAAAACACGCACUUGUUUUGUACUUUUCCUGAGACAAAAUGUAUAUGUAGUUUAGAAAAAUUGGAUCCAAAAUAUUAUUUAAAACACCAAAUAGCUCUCGAGAGCAUUUUCCUCGUCCCACCUUCUUGAUGACCAAAUUGCAUGUCAAUUUGUACAGUUAAAAUAAGUUUUAAAUCUACUUUUUUGGUAUGAUUUUGUUGAUAUAUGUCUCUUGUAUUUGUUAAAACAAUAUGUUUAAUCAUUAACAUGUUUUAAAUAACAGUAAUUAUGCAUUGAAGUUGUGUACUGAAACCUAUUUAGGCUGGCACAGGAAGAGAAAAAACAGUGAGUCACAUGACACACAGGAAAUGACAUCAUCGAGCCAUGUGCUAAUACCAUGGGUAAGUCCUCUCUUCUAUUAUUCAGAUUUUUCCAAUCUCUUCAGCCUUGAUGAUGUGUGUCACUCUAACCAACUCAUAUUAUCAGAAUAAGAAAAAAAUAUUCUUUCUUUAUUUAUAUAUCUGAGUUUGUCCAUAACCUUGACAGUAACAUUACGUUAAACUUUUGAAUUAUUCAUAAUUGAAUUAAAUGAGUAUUCAAUGUGAAUGUGACUUUUUUUACUUGAUUGUAAAGGAUUUAUUAAACAAUAUUAAUCUAAAAUAUACUUUUCAGGUUCAGUAGAGUAUUGGUAACAGGGUUGCACCAAGCAUAGCACACAACAAAUAAAACAUCUCAUGAAAAGUGCACCUUUGAUGCCUGAGCUGCAGAAAUCAAAUUAUUUGAUGGUUUAUUAGCUAUUUUUCUUAAAUACAUAACAGAAAAUGAUAAAUUAAAUGCCUAAAUUGUCCUCCAAUUCUGGAGUGACCCCAAUAUUGUAUUACAACAUUGAAUUUCCAAAGGCACGUCCCCGUACUGUGCUAAAAUAUCACACCAGCACAGGCAAGCAACCAUACAGGAUGUAGAGAAUGAUGAGCUGCAUAAAUACUAACCUGCUAUUCAACAGCAGCUACAAUUUGACCACUGAAUUAACUUCCUGUGUGUGUGUGAGGGAGGGAGAGAGUAUAAAAUUAGCGACCCAAUCGGAGCUGACAAUAAACCACAGAAAACACAUAUAUGUGUUUGUGGGUCGCAGUUUAAAACCUACGACAUGCAUUCAUAGAAUGUUUAAUAUUGGUGGACCACCGACCCCCAAACAAUAUGGUAAACCAGUCGUUGGCAUCAAAAAACAUCUUGGCAAACAGUGUGAGUUGUGGGAAGUGCAUCAGAAAAAAACGCCAGCACAACUUCC